GCGGUAGUAGCUCAGUUGGUAGAGCGCGACCUUGCCAAGGUCGAGGUCGCCGGUUCGAGACCGGUCUACCGCUCCA
rnacentral:tRNA from 2 species